rnacentral:rRNA from 1 species
CUGACCCGUCUUGAGACACGGACCAAGGAGUCUAGCACGUACGCGAGUCAUUGGGAUUAAGCUAAACCUAAAGGCGCAAUGAAAGUGAAGGUCUUCCUCGCGAAGACCGAGGGAGGACGGGCGGUUCGGCCCUUAAAAGCGGCCGCCUCGCACUCCCGGGGCGUCUCGUUCUCAUCGCGAGAAGAGGCGCACCAAGAGCGUACGCGCUGGGACCCGAAAGAUGGUGAACUAUGCCUGGUCAGGACGAAGUCAGGGGAAACCCUGAUGGAGGUCCGUAGCGAUUCUGACGUGCAAAUCGAUCGUCGGAACUGGGUAUAGGGGCGAAAGACUAAUCGAACCAUC